UGGGUCCUGGAGUGUGGGGAGGGCCGGAGGGAAGGAGCUGCCCACUCCUUCAAGGCAGCUGCAGGGAUGAGCAUGUGGGUCUGACUGACGUUCAGGAUGCUGCCAACACUACAUCAAAGUUUUGCCUCAGGCAGAGGAAUGGCACCUACACCACCCCACAGUUGCCAGCGGGUGACGAAAAAUGGCCAAGGUCAGAGUGCCUGGCACAGGGCAGGGAAAAGCCAGCGGGCAGCAACAAAGGCUAGUCUGACGUCAGUGUGGCCAAGCCAGGACAGAGACCCUCUGAUGGCCACGGGAAGAAAAAAGCCCUGGGAACUCUGCGAAGCACCCCUCCCCACCCUCACAGGCACGGUGGAGACCCAAGGAGGGUGCAGUGCGGGAAGGGCCCUGACCUCUGCAGCCCCUCACAGCAGACAGAAGCCCCUUAAACUGGAAAAGGGGGCACCUAAUUUCUCUUCUAGCCCUAGGGUCUGGGAAAAGUCUCAGAUCCUGAAAUACAUGUGGAAUAUUAAAUAAAAUGGAAAAUGUGUUCACGUC
rnacentral:lncRNA from 1 species